GCGCCCGUAGCUCAGUCGGAUAGAGCGUCGGCCUCCGGAGCCGAAUGUCGCAGGUUCGAAUCCUGCCGGGCGCGCCA
rnacentral:tRNA from 1 species